GGAGUUGAAAUGUAGAUGUUUGAAACAAACGUGUAUAAAAGUGUAUAAAUAAAUGAGUUGUUGAUAACUUAGUUAUUGACCUGGACACUGGUAGCUUGUUAAAGAAACUCCA
ensembl:misc_RNA